UACGGAAGGGGCUAGCGUUGUUCGGAAUUACUGGGCGUAAAGCGCGCGUAGGCGGCUUUUCAAGUGAGGCGUGAAAGUCCUGGGCUCAACCUGGGGACGGCGCUUCAGACUGUUUGGCUAGAGUCCGGAGGAGGGUGGUGGAAUUCCGAGUGUAGAGGUGAAAUUCGUAGAUAUUCGGAGGAACACCGGUGGCGAAGGCGGCCACCUGGUCCGGUACUGACGCUCAAGUGCGAAAGCGUGGGGAGCAAACAGG
rnacentral:rRNA from 1 species